rnacentral:lncRNA from 1 species
CCACGUUCAUGACGUUUUUAAUACUCAUCUUGCUAAGAUGCAGAACAAGGACUAUUGAAUUUCCAUUCAUUAGCAGCCAACAAGAUAUGAAUGAGUAUUAACUUGAAACAAAAACUUGAUUUAUAACAUCAAGUUGUGCACUUAAAAAAAUAAUUACAAAUCAUUUUCAAAAGGAAGAGUAACAGUGGAAGCAAUAAUGAAUAUAAAACAUGACUGAGUAGGCUUAAAACAUAACUUCAAGUAUUCUAUGGCAUUUCCUCAGACAUUUGUCUUAAAUUUGUUUGUGCAAUACCCAUCUUUGCAUAGUAAGAAAAAUUGGUUAAACUCCAGCCAUAAGUAAUCUGUUUCUUUUAACAUGCACCUAUACGGCUGUUAGUUGCCAGGCAGACUUCUCUUUUAGGAGGAUCGGGUCAAAUCAAUGAGAUCAUGCAGCAAACUGGAACAAGCAAUAGUUACCGCAGUUUCUUGUCCAUGUGAAUAGGUAAAUAAUGGAGCAAACAGAGUGGAUGAAGUGGAGGCAGUGCUGAGCAGCUCUUCUUUUGAUGAUGCUUUGCGAUGAACACUACACAGACUUCCCAAAGCACAGCAAAGGCAGGAUGUAGAAAUCAACGCCUACCAAACCCCAUGUUUUACCUGUCUGCCACCACAGAAAGUGCUCAUGCCUGUGUCUGUUCAAGCAGUGCUGCCACCAGCCUCGUGUACGAGCAGGGCAGAAGGCGAAUGUAUUUUUUCACAUACGCACCACAGUGGAUGAGUGGAGCAUAAAGUCAGUCAGGAAAUCAUAAUCUUUAUGAAACCGCUGGUGUAAAUCAAAAAGUUACUCCAGCACUGAACAUAUGUACAUAGUAGCUGGGGACCACUGUGGUCUGAUUUAGAACAUCACAUCACACACUAACAAUGCUGUUUGUGAAGCGCUUCUCAAAGGUUUAUUACACAGGUAGUUUAUGUAUAGCCACUUGAUUUUACUUACUUUAAUUUUUGGUAACCACUAGUGUUUCUGUUAUGGGUUACUCUUGCUUUAGAAGCAGAACCCUAACAAACUUGGGGAUUAUGUUCCCAAGCAAAGUACUUUUUGAGGACAAUAAUACAGCUGCAAGUAUUUUUGGUUUGCCAUGAAAGUAUUGUCACUAACUUCCUCCUGCUUGAAGCCAGGCAGGGAUUUUUCAGGAUAAGAUUUAUAACACAUAUCAUUGGUGACUACCUGUGUGCAGCACCUUUAACUCAUAACGUAGUAAGUGUUAAUGUGAUUAUGUUAAAGCUGUUUAAAACCAUUUAAUAAUAACUGUCAACGAAAACAAUAUAUCUGUCCCGGGUGCUUAAACUAUGACAGUAUUGUAGUUCUCUGUGAAACUGUUGGAUUGAACAUUAUCAUAAUAAGAAAUAUAAUUGAAAUGAGAUUUCUAAGUCACAGGAAAUCUGCAGCAUUUUCUUACUGUUUUGGCUCUUAAAGUUAACUCAGGAAAUGGAUUUCCACUAAACAAAGAUGGAGUAAGCAGUUGUAACUGGACUUCUGUUGUUACUAAUACCCAACACAACUUUUAAACUUGAUUAUCAGAUGCAGCAAUGAGAUUUUCAUCAGGUCACUUCACUUAUGCAAACCGAAUUACCUAAGUUUUAAAUCAAGGUGAAGAGGGUAAGCCAGACUGCACAGCUCUGCACUUGGGAGGGAGGCCUAAACUAGACACCUUCCUACCUUUCUCAAGCUGGGCAGGCCCAGAGGAACAGCGCGGGUACCAGCGCUUCCUGCAAAGCUCUUAUCUUUGUGCACACGGUGUGCCUACGAGUCAUUACGGUGCACGACCCCCUGAGAUUACGUGGGAUUCUGCACGCUCUGUGAUGGUAACUAGCCAUCAGCAGCCAAGGGUCAAAGUACUGAUUUUGCAUUAUGCUUUGAAAAGCGAGAUGCAUCAAAGAGAUACAGGGAGUGGGUCAGAAACGUCAGUCACCUUUGCAAGCCCAUUAUGGGUGGGUGGGCAGAAGGCAGGAGAGGAAGAACUCCGUCCAAGCUUUUGACUUUUUGUGAGUAUUUUAAGGCUUAUUUAAGUUUUUAGUUCACAGGAUUUAGGAAAAAAAGUAGCUAUAGUUAAAAAUAAUAACAAUAAAAAAAAGCUUGGCACUUCUGUGAUUAGUUUGAGAGGGUGUCACUUAUCUUACAUUAUCUUAUGGAAAAUCUGUAUAACAGCCAAAAAAAAAGUAAUCCAGACUUAUAGUCAAUACAUAGAUAUGUAUUUAUACAUUUUAAUUGUUUUUGGUUUCAAGCAUACAAACUUCAGAUCACAUCUGUUUUGGUGUCAGAACUCCCUGCAUCUGCAUGCUAUUAUCUGCCUUUUUGGAGCAAGCCCAGAACAUCUGCUGUACAACAUGCUACCAAAAAAAAAAGGGGGGGAGCAAAAAAACCCAAAACCAAACCCAACAUCAAAAAUAGAUUUACAUAAAGAAUAGAAUUUUUUAUAUGGAAAUCCUUUUCUCAUAUAUAUAUAUUUAUAUAUAAUCUGUGAAAAUGAUACAUCAAAAUCUUAUUUCCAUAUUUACACUUUUUCCUUCUUGGAAGAAUUACAUCCACCACUCGGUGGCUUCCAUUCCCAACAGACUCCUGGCCCAGGAGACCAAACCAAGGUAGAGAGCGAGCUCCCAGAGCAGGGAACACUGGAGUCCAGUGGUGGAAUGCACUGUGCAGUUGGAAAAGCUAUCGGAGCCUGGUACCGGCCUCCCAGUGGUUUGCAUUUAUUGGGCUGCAGAUUCUGCUUGGGGUCAGCUUGCGAGCUUGGUUGUCUGUAUGUGAGCCAUGCAGGUUACCCUUUCAGAACUAGCUCCUCAUGCCACUGGAGUUUGGUAAGAAAAAGGAAGUCAUGCGAACUCAAGUGAAGUUAGAGUGCCAGCAGGCUGGGGGAAAAAUCUUCUGCUAUUUCAUUAUUUUGGAACAGUUCUCUUAUUGCACUUGGUCUGUGUGUGUCCUCCUUUGCUUGAGAAAAGAAAAAAACCCCACCUGAUUCUGAAACAGUUUGCUUGUAACACUUGUCAGUUAAUGUUAACAGGAGAAAAGUGAAUAGAGGAAGUAUUUCGAACUUAUCUCCAAAAAGGAGAGUCUUCUACUGCCUCAAAGCCUAACAUCCCAACACUGUGUUUAUAGUUAGUGUUUCUCAUGUUCUUCCUUAAUGAGUUAGUUCAUGUGCAGCUACAGCAAAAACACCAUACCCAAAAUC